UUUCCGGUUGAUCCUGCCGGACCUGACUGCUAUCGGAUUGAUACUAAGCCAUGCGAGUCUUUGUAGUAAUACAAGGCAUACGGCUCAGUAACACGUAGUCAACCUACCCUAUGGACGAGAAUAAUCUCGGGAAACUGAGCAUAAUUCUUGAUAGAUCAUAAUGCCUGGAAUGGUUUAUGGUUAAAAUGAUUCGUCGCCAUAGGAUGGGACUGCGGCCUAUCAGCUUGUUGGUGGGGUAAUGGCCCGCCAAGGCGAUUACAGGUACGGGCUCUGAGAGGAGAAGCCCGGAGAUGGGUACUGAGACACGGACCCAGGCCCUAUGGGGCGCAGCAGGCGAGAAAACUUUGCAAUGUGCGAAAGCACGACAAGGUUAAUCCGAGUGAUUUCUGCUAAAGAAAUCUUUUGCCAGUCGUAAAACCGCUGGUGAAUAAGGGGUGGGCAAGUUCUGGUGUCAGCCGCCGCGGUAAAACCAGCACCUCAAGUGGUCAGGAUGAUUAUUGGGCCUAAAGCAUCCGUAGCCUGCUUUGUAAGUUUUCGGUUAAAUCCAUGUGCUCAACGCAUGGGCUGCCGAAAAUACUGCAUAGCUAGGGAGUGGGAGAGGUAGACGGUACUCAGUAGGUAGGGGUAAAAUCCUUUGAUCUAUUGAUGACCACCUGUGGCGAAGGCGGUCUACCAGAACACGUUCGACGGUGAGGGAUGAAAGCUGGGGGAGCAAACCGGAUUAGAUACCCGGGUAGUCCCAGCUGUAAACGAUGCAGACUCGAUGAUGCAUUGGCAUAAUAGCCAUUGCAGUGUCGCAGGGAAGCCGUUAAGUCUGCCGCCUGGGAAGUACGUACGCAAGUAUGAAACUUAAAGGAAUUGGCGGGGGAGCACCACAAGGGGUGAAGCCUGCGGUUCAAUUGGAUUCAACGCCGGGA
rnacentral:rRNA from 1 species